AUUGAACGCUGGCGGCAGGCCUAACACAUGCAAGUCGAACGAGUGGCGGACGGGUGAGUAAUGUUUGGGAAUCUACCUGAUGGAGGGGGAUAACUACUGGAAACUGUAGCUAAUACCGCGUACCAUCGGAUGUGCCCAGAUGGGAUUAGCUAGUUGGUGUGGUAAUGGCUCACCAAGCCGACGAUCCCUCGCUGGUCUGAGAGGAUGACCAGCCACACUGGGACUGAGACACGGCCCAGACUCCUACGGGAGGCAGCAGUGGGGAAUAUUGCGCAAUGGGGGCAACCCUGACGCAGCCAUGCCGCGUGAAUGAAGAAGGCCUUCGGGUUGUAAAGUUCUUUCGGUAGCGAGGCGUUAACUACAGAAGAAGCACCGGCUAACUCCGUGCCAGCAGCCGCGGUAAUUC
rnacentral:rRNA from 1 species